UUUUUAAACAAUAUUUACAUAGAUUAUUAUAAUGCGAUAGAAAAUAAUUGGAAAUUGAUCAAUUCUCUCAAGACAUGGAUAGUAACUCAUGAAACAAGUGGAAAUUUUAAAAUUUGUGACCUUGAAUUAAAGUGCAGUUCAUAGUUUUUUGUGUUUUUAUUUCACUAAGUUGUUUUCGUUGCAAGUAUAAACAAAUAAGAGUAAUUAUUAUAAUUUAACAUAAUUGCAAAAAAAAUGCGAUUAUCAUCACCUAAUGAUUAUUAAUAGUAAUGUGAUUGUUAUUGAAUAUUUAAAAUUAAUGUUAAUGCUACGACCCUUGACCUAUAUUAAAACAGGAACUACAUAUCUUUGAUGUAGAAGGCAUGCAGGUGUGGUCAACUUAAAAUAACAAAGUUACAGUCAUAGAACCGGAAGUCGGCCAUCUUUGAAAAUAUUUUAUUUAAAAAGAUUUUAUUCGAAAACGUAAACGUAGAAAUUUUCAUGAUUUUGCCAUAUACAGAUAGUUUUAAGUCGUCGUUGAACACCCUGUAUAGAUUAUAUUAUAUUAUAUUGUUGAACAUAUUCACGUAAAUUUCCCAUGAAACUCACCUCUUGGUUUCUAAUCAAUGAAUAGAUAAUACGAUAUAGAGUUGUACAAGAUGAUGUCGUUUUAGAAGAAUUUAAUCCCGAAUAUUUUCAGUUAUGGUUACUAAUAUAAAAGUCACUCGCUUGGGGACACUAUUUGGAUGAAAUUGAAGGUCAUACUUCAGAUUUCUAUCGUACGCUUGCCAUAUCAGAAUAAUUUUAUAUCAGGAGCAAAACCUCUUCAGAAUUUCAUUUUUUCAAACAUCGUGUCUAAGUGACCUUAAAUUUACUGAGAAGUAUAUAAUUUUUGUGGGUGCACUAUCAGGGUUUUUGAAUUGAGGUUAUGGCAAUAUGCAAAGUAAGAACAGAAAUAAAUCAAAACAAGGCGAUGUACUUGUUCAUAUCCAAGAUCAAUAAUGCUCAACAAUAUAUUAAAUUAUGGGUUAAAAAAACUAUACAGAGUGAUUUUUAAAUAUGAAACAUUUCAUUUAUCUCAGUAACAACUUUCACGAUAUUUAUUAAUUUUUGUUUGUAAUAGUUUUCUAAUAUGAUCGAUAUUAUGGUAACAUUUACAUUGUUGCCAGAUCUUUCGUUUUUAUGGAAACAUCAUGAACUGAUUUGAAUAUUUCCCAUGUAAUUUUUCUCUUUCUCCGACGUCAGUGGAUAUUCAUUGUAAGUGGAUGAGAAAACAUUAAAAUAUUGUUAUGAAAAUUUCUUGUUAUUAUAGUUUUGAUCUAA